UGGCUUUAGAAAGGGUAAAACUCAGUGCCUGUCCUCAGUAAGUUCAAAGUCUAACAAGAUUAUGACGUUAAACCCUGUGACCUGCCAUCAUAACCACAUUCUCUCCCAUCUUAAGGAUAAAUGCAUUUAUUUAUUCAACAAAGUAUUUGCUGUGCAUCUAUUAUGUCCCCAGCCCUAUCUAGGUGGUAGGGACACAGCAGUGAAUUUAUACUUUGAUCUUUGAAGUUCAUCCACACUGGGAAAGACAUUAAAAAAAAACUUACAAAGAAGCAAAUAACCAAGAAAAAAAAAGUGGAAGUUCAACCAGUGGACAAGAGAGUUCUAGGAAGAGGUGUCUGAUUGUGCAAUGAUACUGAGGUGUGGAGACUGUGGCAUAUUCUGAGACCAGGAAUCCACUGGUGUUGUGACAACACAGAUCACUGGGGAGCAAAACAGCAAGGCUGGAAGGAUAAGCUAGGGACAAACUGCCAAGGGCUGUCCUGCUAGUUAGGAUUCUUUUCCAUCACAGAAACCCAACCGGAGGAGUGAAAUGGGGAUGAUCUUGUGUGACAAAUCCUGGGUCUGUAGAGAAGCAUGGAAAACUCCUGACCUCCACUGCACACUUCCAAUGCUAGCGCUCUUUCAUUCUGCCCCUUCCACCUGCGUCAGACUACAGAGAUCUAGUGCAAAGAGCUGAAGUACAGCUGAGCCCUUUGCCUUACAGAGGUAAGGAG